AAGAUACAAAACAGUCAUAAAGCUCGUCUCAUUCGGGAAUGUAGAUUAACAUUUUAGAAAAUAUUGCCUUGAUAAUUUAUCAAUUGCGAGACGUCGAUCCGUCGAUGAUGGUGUGCGCUUCAGCAUGACGAACGAAAGUACGACAGAUUUUCUCUCAGAAGAACAGAAAAUAAAUGUGUUACGAGGGAUUCGCGGCGAACCAUUUUUGGAAUCCCCACCCACGACACGCGCGCGGUUUUUGUCGGAUGGCUUUUCCGUUCUCUUUCCGCUCAGAUACUCAUCUUGCGCUGCUCGUUCGAGUUAGGAAACUCUAUAAUUUCUUUAGGACAGUUCUCAAAAUAAAGUCGUCGUCAAGAAGAAAAUGCAAACGAUGAAGCUUGGGAAAGACAAUGCCAUGGAUAAGGCCGACACCCGAGAAGGGCAGGCAAAGGAAGCGAAUCUCUCGUGUUCUCGAGAAAAUUGCGGAACUCACGAAAAAAUUAGCUCGAGUCAAAGAUAAUAUGGAGGCCAAAGCAAGUUAUUGAGCAAGCUAACAGAAAGCUCAAAGAUCGCGAGAAAUCUCUUAUCAAAGUAACGUCAACGCUAAAUGCAAAGUAGCCUAGUCCUUAAUUGCGAAGUCUAGUUCAUUGAAGAGGACUUUGAGCGCUCGGAGGAAUAAUUAAACACGACGAUCGCUAAAUUGACUGAAGUUUCGCAGACCGCCGAUAAACCCAGUCGGACAAGAAGAGGAUGGACCAAUUAAUGAAUCAAGAAAGUUCACCUACUUGUGCAAGAUGCUAAUCUGAUGAAAAAUCUGACGAAGCGCAAGCUGGUCUUCAUUGAAGACGAGCUCGAAGGAUCAAAAAAGGAUGUGAAAUUCUAGGAAAAUAAUAAAGGAUGUGAUAAAGCACCAAUCAAUGAAUCAAAAAAUACAAAUGCCAAUUGAAAAUCUUGAUCAUAAAUUGAAGGAGGCUGAAGUCUGCGCCGAGUUUGAUGAGAAGAUCAAGAAAUUUCAGAAGAAGGACAAUUCGAAGAUGAAUUGAGUAUCAACAAGGACAAGUCGCUGGUCGAUGAAGUGGACUCGACGUUAGCCGAAUUGGCAAGCUAUGAGAUUAUUUUACUAUUAUACUUCGCGUAUCUAAGAAUAGUUUCAAUUUCUUGAUUAAAAAGUCGAUAUUUUAUGUUUCCGCGAACAAUAUUACAGUUGGACGUCAUCGUUCGAUGAAAAAAAGAGACACAACUAAAGGAUAUGAAUAUCAUUCACUAUUCACGCUCCUAUCUUUAUAAUUAAUGUUAUUAUUAUGAUGGAGUUUUAUCAAUGUGAGCGAAUCAUAAUCAAUUCUAUUCUUUACAUUGUGUACAAAAGAUUAAGAGAAAUUCAAUAAAGAGUAAUGUAAAAUCGAUAAACUGAUACAAGAGUGCAUAGCAAUCUACGCUAAGCAAUCAAUAUUUUUAUACAUUAUUUUCCUACAAUUUCACACAUA
rnacentral:lncRNA from 1 species